rnacentral:rRNA from 1 species
AACGCGAAGAACCUUACCUGGUCUUGACAUCCACGGAAGUUUUCAGAGAUGAGAAUGUGCCUUCGGGAACCGUGAGACAGGUGCUGCAUGACUGUCGUCAGCUCGUGUUGUGAAAUGUUGGGUUAAGUCCCGCAACGAGCGCAACCCUUAUCCUUUGUUGCCAGCGGUCCGGCCGGGAACUCAAAGGAGACUGCCAGUGAUAAACUGGAGGAAGGUGGGGAUGACGUCAAGUCAUCAUGGCCCUUACGACCAGGGCUACACACGUGCUACAAUGGCGCAUACAAAGAGAAGCGACCUCGCGAGAGCAAGCGGACCUCAUAAAGUGCGUCGUAGUCCGGAUUGGAGUCUGCAACUCGACUCCAUGAAGUCGGAAUCGCUAGUAAUCGUGGAUCAGAAUGCCACGGUGAAUACGUUCCC